GGCUAUGCAGUCGCUUGCGCUUAGGGAAUGUGUGGCUGGGAGGUCUGGAGGCCUGUGAUGGGGCAUACACACUGUCGAGCGACCUGUCCAAAGGUCACAUUUAUUCGGCCGGUCAUCAGAUAUUUAUUGCGCACCUACGAAGCUAUCAGGACACACAUCCCUGCCGAAAACGAAUUUAGACGCGGUGUCCACGUUUGGCAAGGAAUUGUUGCAGAGGAAGGCUGUGGUCCUUAAUCCCUCAGAACAGAUACCUCACAAGGCUCUAAGCAGUUCGUGUAAACACAAAGGUUGUGCGCAAAUCACACUUGAAAUACAUCAGAGACACCCCCACCCCCUCCCCCAGAACUCCCAACUGUCUGCGAGUCAGAAAAGGACCCGAUCAAACUCAGGACGACAGGCGCUUCACCUCUCCAGGUAUUUUGUAGAGGAGGGCGAAAGCAGGCAAGGAGCACGACUCCGCCAAAGUUCUGUGUUUUGUCUGCGGUGGUGCCCAUUGGUUUGGCCUUUUACAAACCAAGUGGCCGGCCUCAGCCUCGCGGUCGGGACUGCCACAUUCGCAAAGUGCGAUCUCUCAAAGCCGGAGCAGGCUGCAGCCUCUUUCCAGCGGCAACUCUGCUGACGUUCUGACUCGGCGGGGAGGUGAAGAGCAGAACGCGAAAGCAGUUGCCCUGUCACUGAGGAGCGUGGCGGGGUGGGGGCUCGGGGCACUGGAGAAAGACUUGUCAGAGUUCAAGGUCGGUGUGGCGCGGGACGGCUCCUGCUAGCGCGGGGCCGCGGCGUCACGGCCGCCGCCGCCAGCCUUCGCGGGGACUUAGCUUGGUUUUCAUUGAUUCCCUUUGCAAGAGCGCAGCAGAAUCCCGACCAGCCGCACCAGCCCCGGCGAACCAGAGCAUGUUAAUCUAUUUAUAUGGAUUAUUACAGAGGAGCAGCGGGCGUUGAGUCACCAAAACAUUUGCUUCAAAAGACCAUUUCUAAGCACUUUCGGAGGAGGCAGGCUCCAGACGCGUAAACUGGGCUACGCACUAACGAGCGACGGCUUUUCCAAUACUGCAAACUCCAGCUAAGUCUCCGGUACCGCGGAGAAAGCAGUGGAAAGAACUGCUCGGGAGUGGGAGUAGAUCCUAGUCUAGACACACACACACACGCACACACACACGCA
rnacentral:lncRNA from 1 species